rnacentral:rRNA from 1 species
GACGAACGCUGGGCGGCGUGCUUAAAACAUGCAAGUCGAACGGACUUCUCAUGAAGCUUGCAAUUGAGAAGUUAGUGGCGGACGGGUGAGUAACGCGUGGGCAACCUGCCCCUGAGCCCGGGAUAACAGUUCGAAAGGACUGCUAAGACCGGAUAUACUUGCGGGGAAGCAUUUCUCUGUAAGGAAAGGGAACGCUCAGGGAUGGGCCUGCGUCCCAUUAGCUAGUUGGUGAGGUAACGGCCCACCAAGGCGACGAUGGGUAGCCGGCCUGAGAGGGUGAACGGCCACACUGGGACUGAGACACGGCCCAGACUCCUACGGGAGGCAGCAGUUGGGAAUCUUCGGCAAUGGGCGCAAGCCUGACCGAGCAACGCCGCGUGAGUGAUGAAGGUUUUCGGAUUGUAAAGCUCUGUCUUCCGGGACGAUAAUGACGGUACCGGAGGAGGAAGCCACGGCUAACUACGUG